CCUACGGGAGGCUGCAGUGGGGAAUAUUGGACAAUGGGCGAAAGCCUGAUCCAGCAAUGCCGCGUGAGUGAAGAAGGCCUUCGGGUUGUAAAGCUCUUUCACCCGGGAAGAUAAUGACUGUACCGGGAGAAUAAGCCCCGGCUAACUCCGUGCCAGCAGCCGCGGUAAUACGGAGGGGGCUAGCGUUGUUCGGAAUUACUGGGCGUAAAGCGUACGUAGGCGGCUUUUUAAGUCAGAGGUGAAAUCCCACGACUCAAUCGUGGAACUGCCUUUGAGACUGGAUCGCUUGAAGAUGGGAGAGGUAAGUGGAAUUCCGAGUGUAGAGGUGAAAUUCGUAGAUAUUCGGAAGAACACCAGUGGCGAAGGCGGCUUACUGGACCAUUCUUGACGCUGAGGUACGAAAGCGUGGGGAGCAAACAGGCUUAGAUACCCCGGUAGUC
rnacentral:rRNA from 1 species